rnacentral:rRNA from 1 species
UGCGGAGGGAUCAUUACCGAGUUUACAACUCCCAAACCCAAUGUGAACGUUACCAAACUGUUGCCUCGGCGGGAUCUCUGCCCCGGGUGCGUCGCAGCCCCGGACCAAGGCGCCCGCCGGAGGACCAACCUAAAACUCUUAUUGUAUACCCCCUCGCGGGUUUUUUUAUAAUCUGAGCCUUCUCGGCGCCUCUCGUAGGCGUUUCGAAAAUGAAUCAAAACUUUCAACAACGGAUCUCUUGGUUCUGGCAUCGAUGAAGAACGCAGCGAAAUGCGAUAAGUAAUGUGAAUUGCAGAAUUCAGUGAAUCAUCGAAUCUUUGAACGCACAUUGCGCCCGCCAGUAUUCUGGCGGGCAUGCCUGUCCGAGCGUCAUUUCAACCCUCGAACCCCUCCGGGGGGUCGGCGUUGGGGAUCGGCCCUCCCUUAGCGGGUGGCCGUCUCCGAAAUACAGUGGCGGUCUCGCCGCAGCCUCUCCUGCGCAGUAGUUUGCACACUCGCAUCGGGAGCGCGGCGCGUCCACAGCCGUUAAACACCCAACUUCUGAAAUGUUGACCUCGGAUCAGGUAGGAAUACCCGCUGAACUUAAGCAUAUC